UCAAUUUCACCAAAUUGAUCGAACUAGUUCAACAAAUCUUUGUUUCAGCAAAUCGUUCACUCUCUCACUCGAUCGAACUAUCCCUCUCUCUCUCUCUCACACCCGUUCUCCCUCGAACCCUACCCUCCAAUCUCUUUCACUGAAUCACAAAUUCCAAUCCCUAAUUGAAGAAUCAAGGCUUACUGAACCCAAAUAGAAGCUCAAUGAAACGAAUCAAAGCUGAUUUUGGGUUUUCGGUCGGAGGGAGAGGAACAAGCUGAGAGAGCUUUGAUUCUAUUCUCACACAGUGGUGGUCGCAUACCUGUUCUCUCACUAUCGAACUCUCACAAUCUCGUCAUCUCUCUCAUUGAUGAUUACCUAAUUGCAGAAUCAAGGCUCACUGAUAAACGGAAAUUACAUGAAUUGAAGCUCUCUCGUCCCAAAUCGAAGCUCUCCGACUGAAAACGCAAACAGGAUAGCAAAGGCUUUGAACAGUUGUAGUGCUAGCACUGGUGACAUUAUCAGUACCACAUUGAGGCUCAAACAAGAGCUUGAAACUAUAAUACACAAACACAAGAGAUUGUGACAUGUUUCUUAUGUGAUUAUCAGCUCUCCCCUGAAGAGGUUUGAAUUAUUGUUUGAUGUUUUACCAUCGGCACGUGGCUUUGUGAAUCAAAUAACUGAAUUAUAUUCUUUCUUAAACUUAAUUUUUGAUCAUCUGUAGAUAAAUGCACUUAGAGAUGAAGAUUUGAAUGAAAAACGUUUUCAAAGUUUUGAGAUAGUAGCUUAAUUGGUUUCACAUGUGGCUCACUUUAAGGCUAUAUGCUAACAAGUGUCUUGCUGUAGGGUGCUUCAAUUUGUUGAAGCUUUGAUGCUAAUAACUUGUUCUCUGUGUUUCAAAUUGAUAAGGGUUACAUAUUUACUUGAUUGCUUAUGACUUUUAUGUUUUUGUUGUUAAAUUAUGUUUUAAAGGGAUGAAGAUUUGAACCAUUUUCUGCACUGAUUUACUUUAUCUAAGCUCGGUAAGAUUAUGAGUUGAACACUAAUAUGUAUAUCAUCGUGUAUAUCAUGGAAUCACCGGUUUGUUGGUGAAUUGGUUUUCAAUGGCCAAAUUAGACUUUCUUUGUUAGUUAUGAGAUUCACUACCAAGAUGACUGCAAUAUCUGUAUUAGAUGCAAUCUGUUGAAUGGUCUUUGAAGGAACCAAAUGCUAUGGGCUUAUCAACUGUAGGGAAGGAUGGAAAACACUCAUCACAGAUAGUAUUGCUAAAAGGCUUCGACAAGGAUGCAUUUGUGUGUAUCAAUGUGGUCCUUGUACCUGUUAAAGUCAGAGUGUAAAAAUGGAGAAAUUACUAAGAGAAUCAAAAGGACAAUCAUUGACUCAGGCUGAGUUUCUCUCUUAUUUGAAGUUCGACGUUGUUUAGCUUGAGUUUUGGUAUGUUGCUAUUUAGGAGCUCUUAGGCCUUGUGAACUGUCUUGAUUUGAUGACAGUGUUGGUGUUGUAAUUUAGCUUGAAGCAUGAUUUCAAUGAACUGCUUGUUAAAUUGAUGCAAAGGUGAUAAAGUAUACUUAAUUCACAUGGACUGCUUGUUAAAUUGAUUUCAAAUUAUUAUCACAUUUAUAUUUUGGUACGUGUAUUGGGCUAAGAAAAAGUUGUAAACUGUGUGCAUUGAUCAGGUCAGAUGAAUAUCUAUUUGGAAGUUAUAACCAGAAUCUUCCCAGGAAUAUUUCCGUCGUAAAAGAAAUUUUUUCUGGACCUAACCGCCUGGGAACUGAGGAAGCUAUUAUUGAGAUGAUUGACUUCAUGGAAAAACAUGGUGGAAUGGGAAUUGGAACUGACGAAGCAUCAAGCGCAACUAUACCUUCCUCUAGUUAUUAGGCUUCAAAUUGGAACUAAAGGAGGUGCAUAAUUUACUGCUUUUAAAUUGAAUAGUAUAAUAUUCAACAUUUGCACAUACAAAUAAUACAAAUAGGCAAUAAUUUUUGUUUUCUUGAAUAGUAUAAUAUACAACAUUUGCACAUGCAUAUUUUAUCUAGAUUAUACAUGUAAAAAUGUAAUGAUAUAAGUAAAGUGUAUGUUGUUG